AAGAAGAAGAAGCAGCAGCCGCCUUAGCCAUGCGCAUUCUGCUAUCUAAUUCUGAAGCUUAAACAGCAAAAGCGUUAUUGGAUGGAAUAGUGAAGAGAGCAAAGCACACAAAUGACACAUGGCUACAAGGCUACAACCCUCUAUGCAUGGAUGCGGUGGUCAAAGGUAGUUGGUGGUGAGCGGUGACCAGAUGUUUUCAGUGGCCAGCCGCACUACAGUCGCCUUUUCUUCUUUUUUUUGGACAUCACAACAAUGACUUUCGGUUAAACGCUAUAUUAUUGAGGUAAGGAAAAGUUUAGGGGCAGCAAUUUUAUUGUAUUCUGACCAGUCAUUCGAUGAAAUCUCAAAUCAAUCUCACACCAUCAAAUCAUCAUUGAUGGUUAAUUGAUGGCUACCAAUCACAAAUGUUGCUGCCCUAACAUUGCUCAUUG